AUUACAUGGAUAUAUUGUGUAGUGGUGACAUAGGCUGGGCUUUUAGUAUAACCAUUACUGGAGUAGUGUACAUUAUACUCAUUAAGUAAUUUCUUAUCCCUCACCCCUCCCACCUUCUCACCCUUCCUAAUCUCCAUGUCUAUUAUUCCACUCUCUAUGUCCAUGCGUACACAUUGUUUAGCUCCCAACAUCUCCCCUGACCCUACCCUUCAGCCCCCCUCUCUGGUAACUACCUUUCUACUCUCUGUUUUUACGAGAUCAACUUCUUAAGAUUCCACAUGUAAGUGAGA
rnacentral:lncRNA from 1 species